AGAUCUCAACCUUAAAAUAUUCCAACGGUCCUAACAUCUGCCAGCAUCACAGGCAUCGGGGAUCAGCUGCUGGUAUCAGAGCAUGAUGAAUACAAAAUCAUGCUGAAAACAAAGAAAUGUGUGCUGUACUUGGGAAUAUAUGACUGAACACCGUCUGGCUGUGCGAAACAGGAUGAUGUGGAUAAUGAGGCAUUUGAAGGAGGAGGCACUGCAUGACCAGUGAUGGCU